GGGGGGGAGCACGAGCAUGGGCUGUAGGUGAAGGUACUGGAGAGGGUUGGAGAGGGGCUAGAGAGCGCCAAGCAGAGGAUACAGCAGCGAUACACAGCCCCCUAUGAGGCGCUCUGGGUAGCUUGCGCUCCCAUUAUACUGCACUGCUGCACAGGCUCUGACGUCGAGCCAAGCACCAUGGACUGAUGGUAAACCUGCAUGUCAGCCGCAGAAACGGAAUGGGAGUCUAUACUUUUCUCCCCUCUCUCCCGCCCUCGUUCACUCUCUCGCACAGGCAGACUGGUGGAAAGAUAGCAUUGGCCACAGGGAGGGAAACCAUGGAAACGAGAAGCUGAUGCACUUUGAAUGGAUCUCUGACUUGUCGAUUGGGGACACCUGCGGACGCUGGUGGUCGCACCGGGAUCCUCGGAUUCUCCUCUACCUUGACAGAAAACGUACGGGACGAGAGGACCAGCGUCGGGGUGAAACCGAUUGACUUCACGAGAUCCAACGAACUCAAACGGCUUUCCAAAUACUCGGUGAGAUGUACAGUGUCUAAAUUGUUUAAAGUUAAAACGUAAAUUAAAACCCCAUGACAUUUAUAAGAAGGAUUUCUCAAGGUAGGAUAUUUGAGACUAUCCGUCGUAGCCUGGGUUUACGAUCAGUUUUUGUGUGAUUUUUACUGAAGAACAAAUAUCACAAUCACCGACGGGUGAAAAGUUAGUGUUUGAUAACACGGGGUGUUUAGAGUAAACACUUAGCAGCUUUGCCAUGGGAUCAAAGCAGAGUGGGGGGCUGUUACACCCUCCCGAGGGUCCGAUUAUAGAUGUCAUGCGGGCAAAACAUGGUGAAGACAGUCUGUCUAAAUUAAGUAUCUGGACGGAAAUGUUCGGAUUUCCAAAGGGAAGUUCCUUCAGCAAAAAUAAAAAUAAAAAACCUGAGGGAUAAAUUACAAAUACAUGAGGAGGGAAUGAAGAGUAAAGACACAAUUAAAAUGAAAGAUCUAGAGGAGCUUGACACUCAUAGAAAGUGUUUAUAAUACUAGGAGGAUGAAGCGGAAUGCUGUAAAAGAAGGCAGUUGGCCUGGGGCAUUAAAGAAAAUAUUAAGGUUGAAGAUGAAUGUGAAGAAAAGAAGGAAAAUAAAUUAUUUCCAAAACCAUGUAAACCCCAGACAUCUCUGUGUCCUUCCAUUGCAGGUCUGAAUGACCUCUCCUCGACUGGGUAUCCUUUCCCUCCCCCGGGGUACAACCCUGGCAAUCCGGCUAGCCCACCUCAACCACCAAGCUCGCCACCCCCAUCAGCCCCAAGUAGAUGGGGACAACAGCGGGAUAAACAAACCCGAUGCCCAAGCAGGUGUUUGGGGGACACACCUCAGAUAAUGCCUUUCUCAACGGACUCACAGACACAGCGCAAGCUACGCAGAAUGCUGGCCGCUCACAAUACCGAGGGAGAGGCAGAAGAGGUUUUCCGAGGCAGAAGACGAGAAGCAAGACCUUCAUUUGACGAAAGAUGUUUCUGUAAGAGAAUAUUUUAAUCUGAUCUGUUUAUAGAGUUUCUUAUGGUUUCUUAGAAUCUGUGAUACUGCAAACAUCUGCUUGUAGUAUCAGUCAAAAACUCCUCUGUAAGUUGAGGUCACAGGUCAAACGCUUCUCCCAUAUCCUGUGGGGGGAAGGUUUCAGGCUUGUCUGCGUUUCCUUGAGACACGUAGAUUAUUGUCUCCCAUUUGCUAUUGAUUAGGUAAACGCGGGCUUCUGUGGGCCCGCCUCUCCUCGUGUUGCUGGGUGCUUUGGGGCUUUUGGGCCAGAGAUGAUCAUGGUAGACCACGGGACGGUGGGAAACUAAGAUGAUCUCCCGGCCGUAUGUAUUAAUGUACUGUGUUCAAUAAAACUCUCAGUGCUUUGGCUAACGACGUUCCAGACUCCUUCAUUCUACCUCAACAUUGCAACAACGGAAGUUUAACUUCACAAUUGGUGUCUACGAACAGUACCGACAUUUCUUCAGAAGACUGGUAAGUGCUUUUUUCAAAUCUAUUUGAACAACUGCCUUACCAGACUCUGUGAUUGACGGUAUCAAAAUUACCUGUGAAACUGCGCGAGUGCAAUUUGUUUUGGUCUCUCCACUAUG